AAACCAUGCAUCAAACAUUUGCGCAACAAAUCCUUGAAACGCUCUUAAGCUUCAUAUGGGUUCUCAUCCUCUAUUUGCUUGAAUUAUGUGAGAUCAUUCUUUAAUUU